UUUUUUUUUUUUUUUUUGAGACAGAGUUUCUUGUCACCCAGGCUGGAGUGCAAUGGCACUAUCUCAGUUCACUGCAACCUCCACCUCUUAGGUUCAAAUGAUUCUCCUGCCUCAGCCUCCUAGUAGCUGGGAUUACAGGUGCCCGCUAACACAUCCGGCUAAUUUUCUGUAUUUUUAGUAGAGACAGGGUUUCACCACUUUGGGUAGACAGGUCUCGAACUCCUGACCACAGGUGAUCCACCCACAUUAGCCUCCCAAGGUGCUUCCACCUGCCUCAGCCUCCCAAAGUGCUGGGAUUACAGGCAUGAGCCAUAGCGCCCGGCCUCAUGUGUUAUACAUUUCUACCCAUCAUUAGAGCAGCAGUCAAUAUACAUGAUUUGUAGGAUCAUUCGAUACCGGGUGCACCACUUAAGAUGUGUGUAUUUCCAAUUCCUUACCUAUAAACUGGAAAUAAAACUUCAUACUCUGGCUACCACACAAAGUGUUUGGGGGGUCAAAUGAGAUAAUAUGUGUUUUAAAACCUUAAAAACUGGAAAGUACUAUACAAAAAUAAGAAAUGUAAAUUAUUUUUGUAUUCUAGGAAAUUCAGAGCUACUGUUGUAAACAUCAAUAUUUGUUGGAUGCUGCAUUAAAUGAUGCCACGUGAGUUGUCUAAAUAUUCAGUGCUAAUUGUUCCUCAUUUCAUAGGCCAAUGUCCCAUGUUUUUGUGAAUUAAGUCUUUUUAGAAUCUAUGCCAUGAUUAUUUCUUAAAACGCAUAAGAAUGAAUGGGGGAGAGAAUCUGAAUAUACAGGACUAAAAUGUACAUGUAUACGUGUGUGUCUAUGCAUGUUUAUAUAUAUACAGGCAAACAGAUAUAUGCACACUCUUUUUUGUUUAUCCAUGUUUUAAUUGUAUUUAAAAAGCAGCAGUUCUCUCUCCUUUUAAAAAAAUCACCACUCUAGUUUUCAUCUAGUUAAGACUUUGGCUAUAAAUCUUAAAAUAACCUACCCUAUAUCCUCAUGUCAGGAAAAAUGCUCUAACUUCUAGUCCCGUGAGGCUUCUUCUUUCCCUGCCACCCAGAUUCAAUCCUCUAGCCCUUCUGUUUCUUCUAUACACGUGGAAGAUAAAGGCUCCAAUUCUGAGAAGAGAAGCUAUGAGAAAAAUGAAACAAUCACUGACUCCUCAGGGUUAUUUUAUUUGCACUUUCUGAGUCAUUUUGAUUCACACAGGUAAGAGUCAGGGUUUAAAUUAGACAAUUUCUGGCUGGGAAAGUUAUACUGUUCCUAAAAUGGAACGUGGAGAAAGGAGGUGUGACAAUAGUGUAAAAUGACUCAUCGUCAGCCACAAUUAGACUCUCUCCAUUGCCUGCCAAGUGCCCAACAGCCCUGGGCUCAGAGCCACACAGUCUCUGUUAAAGGCCGCCUUGGCUUCUGGUAAUCUUCCUCAGUUACUGAAAAUUAUCGAUCCUGUUUCCACACAUCUCAAUGUUAAUCGGCUUCUCCUGAAGUGUCCCCAUGGACACCAGAGACCAGCUUGACCUGUUAAAUAAGCAGAGUUGAUUCCUAUUAAUAUUUUUUCUCUUUUAAGUUGAAGAGUUAGACACCACCAACUGAGGCAACUUUUAAUUUGUUCUUAAAAUAGGACAAUCAUUUCUGUAUGACCCACCCACAUGAGUCCCUAUCACUGAUAGUGAUUCAGCAGUAUAAGUGGUACCAAGAGAGAUGGCGGGACAGGGCGAGCCUAGAUGGAAAGAAAAAAUCGCACAAGAGGUAAAAUCAUAUGGACACAUGGGCUUUAGAAUCAAAGAAUUCAAAUCCUUGAGCUAUCACUUCUCAGCUAUUUGCAAUUAUCAAUACAUUGAAAUAUAAAAUAUAGAUACUCAAUUCUCAAAAUAGUCCUCUUAAGAAUGCAAAGAAAACGUUCAUCAUGGGAUGCUGGCAUUUCUGGUUGCAGCAUAUAUGUAAUCUGCAUUUAAAAAGUAAUAAAUUUAAAAAUCCAAGGUGUCUACAAGAAAACAAUACAAGGGAACAAAUCAAUCUCUAAGUUUGCGGUUUUGGUUUUGGCUUUUGAUUUGCUAAUGCCUUAUGAAA
rnacentral:lncRNA from 1 species